AUGCCAUUCUUUCAGGCUUGCUUAUGUAUCAACUUUGUAAAAACCUCAUUUUAAUGGUCCUUUUUUUACAGAGACAGCAUCAGCCUGGGGAUACUUGUGAGGGGAUCUGCAACCUGCUUUGAGCUUGGUUACAGUCACACCUAAUUCUGACAUGGAUUCUACUGCAGCAUUGUACGCCUAGACACUGAGCCAGCAGGGGUGGCAGUGCAGCCAAAGCUGGAGUGCAGAGCCUUGUUCCCAACGCUCUCACAACAGGACUUGCAAGUUCUGCACUGCAUUGGAAAUGUUGCAUCCCCAGGCUUGGAUAUGUCUCUGACCCAAGAGAGGUGCUCAGAGGAGAGAAGGAAGCUUAAUGAGACUCAGUGCCUAGUCUGAGAUCAGCACAAGCCAUAACAUAGUGGAAGUCUUUUUUAAUUUCUGCCAUCACCCUUUACUGCCACAAGAGCAGACUCCAGAGUCUGAGGUAGGACAAUAUUUUAGUUGCUUUUUCCAUUUGAUAACUGGAGAACUGCUUAAAGGAGAGGGGAAUGGCAAUGUUUCCUCCCCUCUAGCUACAAUCAGUACUCUUCUAUAACUGAAAAUUUGUCCCUGCAAUUGCU
rnacentral:lncRNA from 1 species